rnacentral:rRNA from 1 species
AAUGGGCGCUGUCUUACCAUGCAGUCGAACGGCAGCACGGGUGCUUGCACCUGGUGGCGAGUGGCGAACGGGUGAGUAAUACAUCGGAACAUGUCCUGUAGUGGGGGAUAGCCCGGCGAAAGCCGGAUUAAUACCGCAUACGAUCUCUGGAUGAAAGCGGGGGACCUUCGGGCCUCGCGCUAUAGGGUUGGCCGAUGGCUGAUUAGCUAGUUGGUGGGGUAAAGGCCUACCAAGGCGACGAUCAGUAGCUGGUCUGAGAGGACGACCAGCCACACUGGGACUGAGACACGGCCCAGACUCCUACGGGAGGCAGCAGUGGGGAAUUUUGGACAAUGGGCGAAAGCCUGAUCCAGCAAUGCCGCGUGUGUGAAGAAGGCCUUCGGGUUGUAAAGCACUUUUGUCCGGAAAGAAAUCCUUGGCCCUAAUACGGUCGGGGGAUGACGGUACCGGAAGAAUAAGCACCGGCUAACUACGUGCCAGCAGCCGGCGGUAAUA